AUUGAACGCUGGCGGCAUGCUUUACACAUGCAAGUCGAACGGCAGCGCGGGCUUCGGCCUGGCGGCGAGUGGCGAACGGGUGAGUAAUGCAUCGGAACGUGCCCAGUAGUGGGGGAUAGCCCGGCGAAAGCCGGAUUAAUACCGCAUACGACCUGAGGGUGAAAGCGGGGGACCGAAAGGCCUCGCGCUAUUGGAGCGGCCGAUGUCGGAUUAGCUAGUUGGUGGGGUAAAGGCUUACCAAGGCGACGAUCCGUAGCUGGUCUGAGAGGACGACCAGCCACACUGGGACUGAGACACGGCCCAGACUCCUACGGGAGGCAGCAGUGGGGAAUUUUUGACAAUGGGGGGAACCCUGAUCCAGCAAUGCCGCGUGCGGGGAGGAGGCCUUCGGGGUGGAAACCGCUUUUGUUCGGGAAGAAAUCCUCUGGGCUAAUACCCCGGGGGGAUGACGGUACCGGAAGAAUAAGCACCGGCUAACUACGUG
rnacentral:rRNA from 1 species